UUCGUAGGUGGCCAACUAAGUCAGACGUGAAAUCCCUCAGCUCAACUGGGGAACUGCGUCUGAUACUGGUUGGCUUGAGUGCAGGAGAGGAACGCGGAAUUCCAGGUGUAGCGGUGAAAUGCGUAGAUAUCUGGAGGAACACCGGUGGCGAAGGCGGCGUUCUGGACUGCAACUGACACUGAGGAACGAAAGCCAGGGAGCAAACG
rnacentral:rRNA from 1 species